rnacentral:lncRNA from 1 species
GCGACACCGUAGACUAAGGUGGGGACCCAGACAGAGGCCGAGAAGGUGCGGUGACGUCACGGCCGGGGGUCGCGCGCCGACCGCGUCCAGGUGCAGCGAGCGGAUGAGGAAGCGGUGCAGAGGAGCUUGGGCUCGCUCUCCCCCCGGAGGCUCGGAACAGCUUGGGCGGGCGUUUGGUCUGGUUUGUCGCCUCAGAUGGAUCAAAAGGUUUCUGCUGAUAGGCAAAGUUGCCCCACUUUCCGCGGCGGCGACGCGGAGUUACUUUCUGCAGCGAAGCAGCCUCGAGGACCUUAAAGGGAAAAGGCGGACAGAAGGAGGGCGAGCGCACUUGAUUUCGACCUUUAAGGGAGGCCCAGAUGCUGCCAGGCCCCUCAGUUUACCUUGCGAAGUUACUUACGGAUCAGCAGCAUUUGGUCUUCGUCGGGUGAGGGAGAAACCUAGGCAUCAAAUAAAUUCUGUUUCAC